GUGUUUGAUUUAUUUUGAUUGAACUUUGAAAUGGUUAGGGUGGCAUGGAAAUGUUGAGCAACGGACUCGAGGAAUAGCUAUGGCUACAACAGCUCCAGCAGUCGAAUCGGGCAUGAACCGUUGAAGUGAGGGAAGAUCUAUAUGUGUAAUUUUAUAUGUUACUAUGUACAAUUAUGGUAUUCUCAAGAAGAUAAGAUAUGUGAUGCGAGUUGUACCUUCUAUUUGCGGUGAAAACACACUUUGCUCUAGUUUGCAAUGUGUAAGUGUCAUCGGUAACAUGAAUAAAAGUAUUGCCAAGGUUUAUUAUGUAACACUUUUGAUAACAUUUGAUUUGAUCUUUUGAUAACUCUCUAGUAACCAAUGCACCGUGCAAAAUUAUGCCAAAUCCAACAAAUUUGGUUUAAAUUUGGGAACAUAGCUCAUAUCUCGCAAAAGGAAUUUAUAGUUGUGAAACAUGUUAAGGAGAACCAUACACCGUACUCAUACAUUGAACCUUGCGAGCUUUGUUGUUACCAAGGCGAACAACUUCACAUUCUAUAAACACAUGUGAUAAGAGCAUUUUGAGCUCAUGACCCGACUCUUCUCAGUUUCCAAACUAGUCAACACUAGUGUUCCCUCAUUCUCAUCAUCCUCCUCCGAGACAACCACAAUUUAAACAAAAUUGCUCUUGCGAUUCUCUUAAUAUAUAUUCAAAUAAUAUUGCAGAUCGGUCUACAAAAACUAUAAUAUUGCAGUACUAAUCUACAAAAACUACUUGUGCAAUAUAGAUAUCCAGAUCGGUCCAUUGACAAAAAGGAGACACAACACACUUAUCCAAACAAUUUGCUUUAACUCAUUUUUACUACAUAAUUACUAGUAUUAAGAAAAAAAAUUAUAAGGCACGAUAGGAGUUGAUAAAAAGAUACAUCUUUCACUUUAUAAACUACCUUAAUUUUUAAGGAUGAUUUAGACUCAAUAUAAAAAUAUAUUUUAAUGAUGUACAAAAGCAUUAGUCCAAUAAUCAUAUAGUUCGUUGAUGCUGUCGGCGAUACAUCAAGGCACUAAGGUCCCUCAUGGUGGAAUCGGACACGUCCUCCUCCUCCUCCUCCUCCUAAACCUCUAGUUGAAUGGUUCAUCGGUCUUUUUGACGGUUGCUUAUCCCGAAAAAUAUAAUGUAAGUUCCUCAUCCUUUUCUCAACUAAUUAUAAGU
rnacentral:lncRNA from 1 species